rnacentral:rRNA from 1 species
GACGUAGGGUCCAAGCGUUUGUCCGGAUUUACUGGGCGUAAAGAGCGCGUAGGCGGCUCGUUAAGUGUGAAGUGAAAUCUCCAGGGCUCAACCCGGAAACUGCUUCGCAUACUGGCGAGCUGGAGUGAUGAAGAGGUUUGUGGAAUUCUUGGUGUAGCGGUGAAAUGCGUUGAUAUCAGGAGGAACACCGAUGGCGAAGGCAGCAAACUGGUCAUCAACUGACGCUGAGGCGCGAAAGCGUGGGUAGCAAACAGG